rnacentral:rRNA from 1 species
GAUCAUGGCUCAGGAUGAACGCUGGCGGCGUGCUUAACACAUGCAAGUCGAACGGAGUUUUUAAACGGAAGUCCUCGGAUGGAAGUUUAGAAACUAGUGGCGGACGGGUGAGUAACGCGUGGGUAACCUGCCUCAUACAGGGGGAUAACAGUCGGAAACGAUUGCUAAAACCGCAUAACAUAGCGAAACCGCAUGAUUUUUGCUAUCAAAUAUUUAUAGGUAUGAGAUGGGCCCGCGUCUGAUUAGCUAGUUGGUGGGGUAAUGGCCUACCAAGGCGACGAUCAGUAGCCGGCUUGAGAGAGUGACCGGCCACAUUGGGACUGAGACACGGCCCAAACUCCUACGGGAGGCAGCAGUGGGGAAUAUUGGACAAUGGGGGAAACCCUGAUCCAGCCGACGCCGCGUGAGUGGAGAAGUAUUUCGGUAUGUAAAGCUCUAUCAGCAGGGAAGAUAAUGACAGUACCUGACUAAGAAGCCCCGGCUAACUACGUGCCAGCCGCCGC